rnacentral:tRNA from 1 species
UUAAUCAAAGCCAAAAAUGAGGCAUUUUAUUGUUAAUAAAAUUAUUGAAUAUAAAUUCUGAUUAAA